rnacentral:snoRNA from 18 species
UGGAUGAUGAGGCCCUUUCAAUAGAUUGGUGAUAAAGGCCCGUGUUUCUGAU